UUUACAAUGAAAAAAACCGAUAGGCACUCUUAUACAGGUAAGAAGUAAAUAAAGGAAAAUGAGAUUUUGGAGUUGUACCUUUUGUAUCAGGGGAGUUUAAAAGUUAAACUAUGAUGGUGUCGAGUCGACUAGAUCUUUAAGAGUAAGGGUAAUGGCAUUUAUUUAUUUUAUCUAGUAAGAGGUGAAAAGCAUGCGAUGGUUGUGAUAGCUAAUUGUUUUAUAAUUUAAAAGGUAAAGUUUUUAAAAGUCUAUAAAGUUUGAGUAUAAAAAUAACUAAGCUUUAAAUUAGUUAGGUUAGUAAAUUGUUUCAAAUAAUUAAGGUUGGUGCGUAGUAGUAGAGUUAUUUGACGAUAGCAAAAAAUAGUGAUUCUUAUAAAUAAUGAAGUUAUUGAAUAAUUAAUGAAGUGAAAAAAGGACUCAGGCUAAGUUAGAUGGUUUAACAAAAACAUUUUUGCCUGAAUAAAAGGAAAUAAAGCCUGCCCAGUGCGCUGUAAACGGCUGCAGUAUUUUGACUGUGCUAAGGUAGCGUAAUCAUUUGCUGCUUAAUUGGUAGCUAGUAUGAAUGGUUAAACUAGUUUAGUUGGUUUGUGAGCUUAAUAGGACAUUCAAGUAGGGGUAAAAAUUCUUCUGUUAGCUAGGGGACGAUAAGACCCUAAAAGCUUAACUAUAAGGGUACUUGUAGUUGUAGUAAAUAAAUGGUUUGACUGGGGCGGUGACAGCAUAUAAACUGCUGUA
rnacentral:rRNA from 1 species